CUAAUCAACGCCGGAGCUGUAUGACACCAGCUGCUUUGUGUACCUAGACAGGAAUAUAAAGGACCGAGCUUGGAGGAAGAUAUGUGAAGAGAUCGGGCAACCUGAACCAACUGAUUCUGCAGCAGAGCAUCCCCUGUUGCUUCUCCCCAGUCCCUCAGCUCCUGCUGCUGCACCCACAGGCCCAGAGAGGAGGACAGCUUCGAGGCAGAUGAGGGACUGGUCCCAGGACGGUCCAUCGGCGGUGGAGCUGGCCAUCCUGGUGUCCCUGAAGAGGCCACGCCAGUCUCCAAUGGAGCAUUUCCUCCUCAGCCUUGUUCCUGCUCUGGAGAGCAGCUGGGUCCUUUUUA
ensembl:lncRNA